UACGUAGGGUGCAAGCGUUAAUCGGAAUUACUGGGCGUAAAGCGUGCGCAGGCGGUUCUGUAAGUCUGUCGUGAAAUCCCCCGGGCUUAACCUGGGAAUUGCGAUGGAGACUGCAAGGCUAGAAUCUGGCAGAGGGGGGUAGAAUUCCACGUGUAGCAGUGAAAUGCGUAGAGAUGUGGAGGAACACCGAUGGCGAAGGCAGCCCCCUGGGUCAAGAUUGACGCUCAUGCACGAAAGCGUGGGGAGCAAACAGG
rnacentral:rRNA from 1 species